GAUGAACGCUAGCUACAGGCUUAACACAUGCAAGUCGAGGGGCAGCAUUUUAGUUUGCUUGCAAACUAAAGAUGGCGACCGGCGCACGGGUGAGUAACACGUAUCCAACCUGCCGAUAACUCGGGGAUAGCCUUUCGAAAGAAAGAUUAAUAUCCGAUAGUAUAUUAAAACCGCAUGGUUUUACUAUUAAAGAAUUUCGGUUAUCGAUGGGGAUGCGUUCCAUUAGUUUGUUGGUGAGGUAACGGCUCACCAAGCCUUCGAUGGAUAGGGGUUCUGAGAGGAAGGUCCCCCACAUUGGGACUGAGACACGGUCCAA
rnacentral:rRNA from 1 species